UAUCACUAUAUUCCAUCAUUACAGGGAGGACUCUCUCUCUCCAUGCAGAAACCAACGGUGGUCUGCGGUACUGCUGCAUCUCCCUCCCAGGGGUGUCACGCUGGCGUGACAGUACUAUUACAUCCCGACGGGUGAUCAGUCUGCACAGAGUUAAACAGGUAUUACAGAGGCUUGAGUUAGUCUUGGAUAGACUCCAGGAGAAAAACCUGAAGAUCAAGUUAAAGACAAAACAAUGAAGAUUGGAUUAUGGAGCAUUGCAAGAGGCUUGACCACGACAAUUGAAAUGCCCAGCAUCAUCUUCAAGCUACACCUGCUCAAAGGGCACAAUGGAGGAUGUAUUGAAAGAAGGACAGUUGGUGUACCAAAAGACCCAUAAGGUGAGAGGGCAGAAUACGAUUCAAGAUCUAUGGGACCCAAAACUUCAUAAAGUGGUGAAGUGCCCAGAUGAUCACGGCCCAGUAUACACUAUCACACCAUUAGAGGGAGAAGGCAGGGUUAAGCAAGUUCAUAGAAGCAAACUAUGACCUGCAUCUGGACAUUCGUCAGUGGGCCAAAGUAUGGAGUACGAAGACCCAGGGAUCCCACUGGGAUUGCUGGACCCACAACCUUGUUGAGGUUUGUGAUUUGUCCCUCUCGUUCAGUUUUCUGUUAAGACCACUACUGGAACGUCCAAUUCCACAGCAGGCUGCAGGCUGAAGGCACUGGUGAGGUUCUGGGUAUUCUGCGGUGUUGCAGUGUAACAUUUGAAUUUCAGCUUGCAGCGUAAUCUUGACUUUAUGGUUUGAAGUGCAUGCAUGCCAACUUGUGGUGGAUGCUAAUUAGAAAAUGCCAGACCUAAAAACAUUCAAAUUCUCAAAUUUACAAUACAUUUGAAAAAAUUAGAAUGAUAUUCAAGUAGUUUUCACAUUUUUUAAGACAGUCCAACGAGGCACUCCUGGAAGGAUUUCAUGGUGUAUACAGUGCAAUGAAGUACUACACUAUCGAUAUAUUUUUCAUUUUUUGGUCGUUUGACAGAAAAAAUGUAAACUUAUUUGUUCAAUAGCUUGCGCACAGCACCACAAUCUGCCAUGAUUUCUAAGCGAACAGUAAAAAAAAAAAAAAAAACUGUAAAAUGGCAUCCCCAGUGGCUGACAGGCACAUAUUUGCAUUUUGUUCUCUCAUUACUUCACAGUGCUGCACGUGUUAUCACAGCAGCGGAAUACAUACCAAGCAAAUGUUAAAAUAAUGCUAAAAUAUUUAUCACACAGCUGGGUGUGACAUCUGGACCAGCCAGCCACCUGUUGUUGUCAGGCAUGCAGCUGACCAAAAUUCACAGCACAGGACUUUAGUCAGGUCCUGUAUGUGUGGACAGUCAUAAUAUAAAAAAUCAGCCGCAUUUUAUGUCACGUAUAUGGGUACGUGUGUUUUGGUAUGCAACCAUGAUAAGACAGGCUUAUGCUGAUUGUACAUUUCUGCAUGUGUAUAUUAUUUAACUGGAUACAUUGUGAUGUGCCUUUUUGUGCUAGUGCAGUAUGUUAAUGUUUAAGUAACU